rnacentral:lncRNA from 1 species
UGUCCAGCAACGUUAAAGGCGAGGCUCGUGGAGGAGCGCGCGCCUGCUCUGCGCGCAAACGUCUCCAGCAGGAAGCAGACGCAGCACAGACCCCCGCUCCAGGGUGACGGGCUCUCAGCAUCCCCGCAAACAUUUACCAAACCCCGAGUAACACAUACGCCACUUUCACACCACCGAGGAAGAAAGGUGGGACCUGUCCAGGUGUGGAGGGUCGACGUUGAAAAAGGAGCCACGAAAAUUCAGAGUAUCCAGGAGGAAGCGUCUGCCUUGGGCCUUUUGUUUCCUCCUCUGGGAGUCUGAGUUAGUCUGCCAUCGAACAUCCUGGAAGUCUGAGGAAGUUCAACAAAGCCCGAGCGUGAUCUCAUCGUUAUCUGUGCGAGCAAAGUUGUGCCAGUCUAAACAACCCCCAGAGGGUUUCGCUUCAGAUCAUCAGGUAGUUGAUGAUGUGAUGUUUUGAUUGUGGGCUUUUCUUGUUACUGUCAUAUAUUAAUUAGCAAGCAGCUGUGAACAAAGGGAAAAAGGAUUACGCCACCAGUUUUGUCUGUUUUAGUUUGACUACAAACGCUGUCAAGUUAUUCCACAGAAAGUGACAUACGAGGGUUUAACACUCAUAUAUGUAUUUGGGUUCAUGUUUUUCCACUGUGGCAGGUCAAACGGGCAAAAAAUGACACACAGAGUGGUUUAUGUUACCCAAACUGUAACCACAACCAGGUCAGCAUGGUAAAUGUUACCUGGUUAAAAUUACUAUUUGGUUCUGGAACAAGUUCAUUUCUUUUUUAUAUUUCUGUUUUUUUCUUUUUCCUUUUUAAGCGCUCUUUUUGUAACCAGGAAGUUGAGCUCUUGAGAUGAGUGAUCUCUUCUCUGCAAACAUCCUGGCCCAACAUCUAACUUUUCUUCCUGUCACAUGUGGGCGAAUCGCAGGGACAACAUGCAAACAAAGCAUACGUGCUGCUCUUUGUAUCUACCGAACUUGAAUAUGUAAAAACAGAGGAUGAGGACGAGGUUGAUGUCGUCGCUUUGCAUCUGAAGGCCACAUAAUCAGUUUUUCAGGAUACACGCGGGGUGGCUGUAGCUCAGGUGGUAGAGCGGGUCAACUACUACUCAAGAGGGUUGGUUGUUCGAUCCCAGUCUUCUCCAGUCUACAUGCCAAAUAUCCUUGGGCAAGAUACUAACCCCUGGUUGCUCUCCAAUGCAUCCAAAAAAACUUAGAAGUGUGAUUGGGUGAAUGAAUGAGUUGUGUAAAGCGCUUUGAGUGCUCAGAUAGAGUAGAAAAGCGCUAAGAACAAGUCCAUUUUUUUACAUUUCCUGU